rnacentral:lncRNA from 1 species
CCAUACGGGGUGUGAUACCGCCGCGGGGCAUCUUCUAGCGUCACAGACCUAGGAAUUGAGCGCGUCAGUGUGUAGGAGCCGCGGCCGCAUGAAUGAGCCGCCGCACGAGUACUACGCGCGCCUAUAAAAGCGGCGGCGCCCGCCGGGCUGCGGGAGGGAAGCCGGCACCGGCGCGACGCGGCCCGCCAGGUAAGGACCCUCCGAUGGUGGGAGAUGGGCCAAUGCAGGGACACCGCUGGAGGGCACGGAGGGGACCGGAGGCGGGCGGAGGGUCGGAGGGUCGCUCCGGAGUGAGGAUGGGGACAGAGUGGGAGGGACGAAGGUUCCUUUGCAGCUUGGAGGAACAGGGGCCGGAGGCUGACCCAACCCUAUGCAGCACCUGCGGGCGCCCAGAUGAAGACGCAGACACUCUGGAGAAACAUGGAGCGGAGAACCGAGCCCCCGUCCCCAUUUCCCAAGGCCGGACGGCUCCUGCGCCAUCCUUCCAAGAAAGUGGGGAGAAGGCGCUGGAGUCCCUGGAGACGCGCCCCCUCAUUCUCUCCCUGUCCGCAGCGCGGUGACUCAGCCUAGAUGGCCCCGAUUGACUGAGCCAGGGCGCCCACGACAGACAGACAGACAGACAGACAGACAGACAGACAGACGCACGCCUCGUCCCUGCGACUCUCUGGGAACCCCCGCCCCGCAUGCUGCCCAGAUGCCCCUUCCCAGUCCUGCCCCGUCCCUUCGCGUGGUCCCACUGCGCCCAGGACUUCCCGCCUCUGCGAGCGAGCGAGCGAGCGAGCUAGCGGAGCUGUCCUCUCAGGACCAGGCGGGGGCGGGGCUUCGGCCAGGCCGCCCCGCUCCACCCCCACUGUACCCCCCCACUGCCGGAAGUGCCUCCCCGCUGGGACAUCUUUGACGUCACAGGACUCUGACGUCAACGGUCGCGUGCCUGUCCGCGCGCGCUUGGGCGGAGGGGGGCGUGAGAAGCAGCAGUGCCCCAGCCGCGGGCGACGGGACAUCCCCGCCCGGGCAGCGCGCCGGCACCUUGGCUCUAGACUGCUUACUGCCCGGGCCGCCCUCAGUAACAGUCUCCAGUCACGGCCACCGACGCCUGGCCCCGCCCCAGGACCGCCGACCCCGGGCCCCUCCGCGCCUCCCUGCGCCGCUGUCCGCGGUGCUGAUGCAGCGCAGGAGCCUCCCUCGGGCCCUCCCGCCCAAGGUCCCGUGGGCGGCUGUGGGCGCUGGUCCCGCACACGCUCGCACACGCUCGCUCGCAC